CUUCCCAGCUGCCCUAAGUCAGGAGUGGCUUUCCUGACACGGAGGGUGGCUUGGGAAA
ensembl:miRNA MIR4462 microRNA 4462